UACUAAAAAGCCCAAUACCUUAUGGUUCACUCGAUAAAAGACAUUUUGCAGUGGUGGCUUAUUAUUUAGGAAGGGGUGAAUGGGGAUCACAAGGGAUAUUAGUUUUAGGAGGCUUUGGGAACCAUGUGGGACAUUAAUUUCAGGAGAUCCAUACAUGAAUGGGAAGAGAACCUACAUAUUCGUUUUGGAAAAAUGGUUGAGAUUUCUCAUAGAAGAGCAUGUCAACAUGUAGUAGGAAGAGACGAAAAUAAGAUGAUAUGGAGGAAUCAAGGGUGAAAUCUUUCAGGGUGAACUCACUUUUAAUGGAGUUACUAGUAGGGGAGUUGAGAGAAGCAUAUGAAAUACCAGGGCA